rnacentral:rRNA from 1 species
UACGUAGGGUGUAAGCGUUGUCCGGAAUUAUUGGGCGUAAAGAGCUCGUAGGCGGUUUGUCGCGUCUGCUGUGAAAACGCGAGGCUCAACCUCGCGCCUGCAGUGGGUACGGGCAGACUAGAGUGUGGUAGGGGAGAUUGGAAUUCCUGGUGUAGCGGUGAAAUGCGUAGAUAUCGGGAGGAACACCUGUGGCGAAAGCGGCUCACUGGACCAUAACUGACGCUGAUGGCACCGAAAAGCUGGGGGGAGCAAACAGG